UACAUGUUCUCCAUUUUAUCG
rnacentral:piRNA from 1 species